GCUAGGAUGGUGCAGUGGUUUGAGCAUGGAAUUAUGACUCUGGAGACCAGGGUUCGAUUCCUUGUUCGGCCA